CCUACGGGAGGCAGCAGUGAGGAAUAUUGGUCAAUGGUCGCAAGUCUGAACCAGCCAUGCCGCGUGAAGGAGGAAGGCUCUGUGUAUUGUAAACCGCUUUUGUCAGAGGAUAAACGCAGGUACGCGUAUCUGUAUGAGAGUAUCGUACGAAUAAGGAUCGGCUAACUCCGUGCCAGCAGCCGCGGUAAUACGGAGGAUUCGAGCGUUAUCCGGAUUUAUUGGGUUUAAAGGGUGCGUAGGCGGUCGGUUAAGUUAGGGGUUAAAGCCCGAGGCUCAACUUCGGAAUUGCCUCUGAUACUGGUCGGCUAGAGAGGAGUAGCGGUAGGCGGAAUGUAUGGUGUAGCGGUGAAAUGCUUAGAGAUCAUACAGAACACCGAUUGCGAAGGCAGCUUACCAGGCUACUACUGACGUUGAGGCACGAAAGCGUGGGGAGCAAACAGGAUUAGAUACCCUGGUAGUC
rnacentral:rRNA from 1 species